ensembl:lncRNA novel transcript
ACUAAAGAGUUUCUGCACGGCAAAGAAAACUAUCAACAGAGUGAACAGACAACCUACAUAGUAGGAGGAAAUUUUUGCAAACUAUGCAUCUGACAAAGGUCUAAUAUCCAGUAUCUAUAGGGAACAUAAAUUUACAAGUCUGAAACAAAUAACACCAUUUAAAAAGUGGACAAAGGACAUGAACAGACACUUUUCAAAAGAACACAUAUGUGCGGCCAACAAGCAUAUAAAAAAAGCUCAACAUCACUGAUCAUUAGAAAAAUGCAAUGAAAACCAUAAUGAGAUACUAGCUCACACAAGUUAGAAUGGCUAUUAUUAAAAAGUCAAAAUGUAAUAGGUUCUGGUGACAUUGCAUAGAAAAAGGAACACUGUUGGUGGGAGUAUAAAUUAGUUCAACCGCUGUGGAAGACAGUGUGGCUAUUCAAAGACCUAAAAACAGAAAUGCCAUUUGACCCAGCAAUCCCAUUACUGGGUAUAUACCCAAAGGAAUUUAAAUUAUUCUAUUAUAAAGACACAUGCACAUGUAUGUUCAUUGCAGCACUACUCACAAUAGCAAAGACAUGGAAUCAAUGUACAUGCCCACUAAUGGUACUCUGGAUAAAGAAAAUGUGGCACACAUACAUCAUGGAAUACUAUGUAGCUAUAAAAAAGAACAAGAUCAUGUCCUUUGCAGGAACAUGGAUGGAGCUAGAGACCAUUAUCUUUAGCAAACUAAGGCAGGAACAGAAAACCAAUUACUGCGUAUUGUUCCUUAUAAGUGGGAGCUAAAUGAGAACGCAUGGACACUUGGAGGAGAACAACACACACUGGGGCCUAUCGGAGGGUGGAGGGUGGGAGGAGGGAGAGGAUCAGGAAAAAACAACUAAUGAGUACUAGGCUUCAUACCUAGGUGACACAGCCAUCUGUACAACAAACCCCCAUGACACAAAUUUACCAGUAUAACAACGUGUAUCUGUUGAGCCUAAUACUGUUCACUUGUAAAGUCAAACAGUUCAGAGAAGACAGGGAAGCUAAAAUUUAGAAGUUAUGAGUGGAUUUAUCAUUUUAAUACCAUAUCAUUUUAAUGCCUUAUUUUCUCCACUAGCCUGUGAUCUACUAGGACCUUAGGCAACUUUAUGUCCAAGCCCUGUCUUCUAACAGAUGUAGUCCACCAAGUGCUGAGGUACAAGAUCCAUAUCCAAAAAGCACAUGUACGCUUAAACUUAAAAGUUAAGGAACAAGCCUUGAUUUCUUGCCUCAAGCCACAGCAUUAUGGAUUACUUAGCGAAACAAUGAAGACAUAUCAGUUGUCUUAGGCCCAAUAUUCUUUUGCUCUUACUAGCAAGAUAGAAAUAAUCCUUCUCAUUUAGUCAUUGAAUUUAGGCUGGGGUAGAAGAGGCAUUUAAAUUAUUGUUAAUAAAGAAGAUUAAUUGAUUAUCAUAACUUUGAGUCUGAACCAGAAGUUCUUUACAAUUGGACACAGUGGGUUGUAGUGUAAGAACUAACAUUUUAUUGAAGGAAAACCUCGUUGCUGAGACACUUUUUUUUCCCAAAGCAUCAUAUCCUGAUAGGUUGUGUACCCGAGCAGUGGCUGAUUUGAACAUUCUAGAAGAGAAGCCAGAUAUUAACCACUUACCAAGAUGUGGCAAUCAUUCAUUCUGUUCUUGAAAAAAGCUAGGAUAAUUUUUGGUAAAGAAGCCAUGAGAAGUAAUGAAUUGUUUUCCAAGCUGAGCUUUAAGACUGCCAGUUAAAUGAUGUAUCACCUUUGUUGCCAAUAUCCAAUAUCCAUCAAUAUCCAAUAUCCAAUAAAUAUAUUGCUCAGUGAUUUUCAAAGAAGUAACUUACUUCAAGGGUUGACUGGAAAAACCCAUUUCCUCUUAAAAUGUCUGUGGAAGUGAGGUACGCACAAAGAUCCAGAGUGGACUUAUGCGUGGGCGUCUGAUUACUAAACACGAAGUGACUCACCUGCGGCUUCACAAGCACACGCACGGAAAGGCGUCGUGGGAGAGGUCAGAGGCUUUCCCCACCCUGCUUGUGAGUGACCUUUGUACAUGGUGGGGCAGAGACAAAGAUUCAUAACUUACUGACAGGUGUUGGUUAAACUCGGCUUUUAUUAGUAUUUUUAUAGGUUUCAUGAUUAGGACUUAAGCAAGAUUGUGCCUGAGUGAAAAAUAAAUGAAUAGAGGAGCUGCUUCUUCACCGUCUCACAUUUCCCAGGCUUGGGCACACCGGCUUCUCAUGCAGAGGAGGCUUUGAGAGGCACGAACAGGGGAAGAUUUCUUCACUGGUUUCCACUCAUUCCAACCCCUCGUCUCUGCUUGGCUGGGAUGGUCUUAAUACUGGCUACUUCGUAACGUUCUCAUGAACCAAAAAACAUCACUAAUAGACUCCGUCCUUCUUUCUGAAAUGAGGGAUAUGCUUCCUGCCUUCAGCAUUCCUCGACUUCAGUCUAUUUUGAAACCAGGGCUGGUGAAUUGGUUAAAUUCCAUCAAUGGAAAGGACAUCCUAACAGAACUUCUUAAACUGAAGUGUGCAUUUGAACCCCAUGGCACUUUGUUAAAUAUGCAGAUUCUGGCACCCUCUGGGAACCACUGUGAGCAGCAAGGUCCUAGAGGAUCUGUUGGGAGUGUCUCUGCAGCUGGCAGCCUGCAACAGCGCUGGCGUUUUUUGGAGAGGGGACAGAUUAGCCCUGAAGCCUCAGGUAUCUGACAUGCCAGUUACUGCCUCCUGUUUUAGGUAAUCAGCCCUGCUGUCUCCUGGAGCAACUCUCAGUGAUUGUGUCAGAUGUGCUGUCACUGCGGGCUCUAUGUUUUUCCCUUUCCUUGUCAAGUGUAUCUCUUCCUGCAGCUCAGAGAGCGAGAUGGUAUUAGCCCUACAUACAAGGACCAGCUCACAUUAAGGCACUGCCUUCAGUCUGAUAGAGAGCCAGACUUGGCAGCACUGCAGAAGCUUCUCCUUUCUGCUGGUGGAAUGGGUCUGGAGAGUUUCCACUGCCCAAGCCAGCACAGCAUGACCAGAGUUCUGGGUGUUCGGUGGACGUCAGUCCACAGCCAAAGUCCAGGCAGCUACUUCAGUUCUCUGCUGAGAUUGGAGCCCAGCUCUGAGAGUUAGAUGAGUUCUCACCUUUCUUCUGAGCUCUGACUCUGCUUCUGACACUCUUGGUCCAACCUGGAUAGAGUGUGGAGGUGAAAUGUUGACAGUGUCUAGUGUUGACCUCAGACUCUGAGCUCCAGCCCUACCUUCUCAGGUGGCUGCCCUUGAGGACUGAUGCGAAUCCCGGGUGGACUAGCACUAGUCUGCUGCUGCCGCUUGGUGAGUCAAAUGUACCUUGUCUUGCUGUUCCAGUCUGGAAGCUCCUGGCAUGUUAAAUUAUUAUUAGCAGUAGC